rnacentral:tRNA from 1 species
GCUGGGGUGGUGUAACUGGUAACACGCCUCUCGUCAUGAGAAGAGCUCUGGGUUCGAAUCCCAGCCUUGGCA